rnacentral:rRNA from 1 species
UGGGGAAUUUUGGACAAUGGGCGAAAGCCUGAUCCAGCAAUGCCGCGUGUGUGAAGAAGGCCUUCGGGUUGUAAAGCACUUUUGUCCGGAAAGAAAUCCUUGGCUCUAAUACAGUCGGGGGAUGACGGUACCGGAAGAAUAAGCACCGGCUAACUACGUGCCAGCAGCCGCGGUAAUACGUAGGGUGCAAGCGUUAAUCGGAAUUACUGGGCGUAAAGCGUGCGCAGGCGGUCCGCUAAGACAGAUGUGAAAAUCCCCCGGGCUUAACCUGGGAACUGCAUUUGUGACUGGCGGGCUAGAGUAUGGCAGAGGGGGGUAAAUUCCACGUGUAGCAGUGAAAUGCGUAGAGAUGUGGAGGAAUACCGAUGGCGAAGGCAGCCCCCUGGGCCAAUACUGACGCUCAUGCACGAAAGCGUGGGGGAGCAAACAGGAUUAGAUACCCUGGUAGUCCACGCCCUAAACGAUGU